ACUCCACGAAGUUGGAUUCGCUAGUAAUCGCGCAUCAGCCAUGGCGCGGUGAAUACGUUCCCGGGCCUUGUACACACCGCCCGUCAAGCCAUGGGAGCCGGGGGCGCCUGAAGUCCGGGACCGCGAGGACCGGCCUAGGGCGAAACUGGUGACUGGGGCUAAGUCGUAACAAGGUAGC
rnacentral:rRNA from 1 species